rnacentral:rRNA from 1 species
UACGUAGGGUCCGAGCCUUGUCCGGAAUUACUGGGCGUAAAGAGCUCGUAGGUGGUUUGUCGCGUUGUUCGUGAAAACUCACAGCUCAACUGUGGGCGUGCGGGCGAUACGGGCAGACUAGAGUACUGCAGGGGAGACUGGAAUUCCUGGUGUAGCGGUGGAAUGCGCAGAUAUCAGGAGGAACACCGGUGGCGAAGGCGGGUCUCUGGGCAGUAACUGACGCUGAGGAGCGAAAGCGUGGGGAGCGAACAGG